rnacentral:rRNA from 1 species
AUUGAACGCUGGCGGCAGGCCUAACACAUGCAAGUCGAGCGGAUGAAGGGAGCUUGCUCCUGGAUUCAGCGGCGGACGGGUGAGUAAUGCCUAGGAAUCUGCCUGGUAGUGGGGGAUAACGUCCGGAAACGGGCGCUAAUACCGCAUACGUCCUGAGGGAGAAAGUGGGGGAUCUUCGGACCUCACGCUAUCAGAUGAGCCUAGGUCGGAUUAGCCAGUUGGUGGGGUAAAGGCCUACCAAGGCGACGAUCCGUAACCGGUCUGAGAGGAUGAUCAGUCACACUGGAACUGAGACACGGUCCAGACUCCUACGGGAGGCAGCAGUGGGGAAUAUUGGACAAUGGGCGAAAGCCUGAUCCAGCCAUGCCGCGUGUGUGAAGAAGGUCUUCGGAUUGUAAAGCACUUUAAGUUGGGAGGAAGGGCAGUAAGUUAAUACCUUGCUGUUUUGACGUUACCAACAGAAUAAGCACCGGCUAACUUCGUG